rnacentral:rRNA from 1 species
UACGAAGGGGGGCUAGCGUUGUUCGGAUUUAUUGGGCGUAAAGGGCGCGUAGGCGGUACUUCAAGUCAGGCGUGAAAGCCCUGGGCUCAACCCAGGAAGUGCAUUCGAAACUGGCAGGCUUGAAUAUGGAAGAGGGUCGCGGAAUUCCCGGUGUAGAGGUGAAAUUCGUAGAUAUCGGGAGGAACACCAGUGGCGAAGGCGGCUUACUGGUCCGGUU